AAAGUAGAUGGCUGCACUCACGGUCUUCCAAGAAAAAAUUUACUUUUAAUAAAAGUAACUUUUUACUUGGAAGACCGUGAGUGCAGCCAUCUACUU